CAAAACACCAUGGAUAGUUUUCCAAGUUUUGAUGCGUGUGGAAGCACCAGAGACACAAAAUGACACCCCAAAUCACAGAAAAGGGGAUUUUUGUCAUAAUAUGGGCACUAUAAUGUACCUUUACUGAA